rnacentral:rRNA from 1 species
AACGAACGCUGGCGGCAGGCUUAACACAUGCAAGUCGAGCGCCCCGCAAGGGGAGCGGCAGACGGGUGAGUAAAGCGUGGGACUCUACCUUUUGCUACGGAAUAACUCAGGGAAACGUGUGCUAAUCCCGUCUGUGCCCUUCGGGGGAAAGAUUUAUCGGCAAGAGAUGAGCCCGCGUUGGUUCAGCUAGUUGGUGGGGUAAAGGCCUACCAAGGCGACGAUCCAUAGCUGGUCUGAGAGGAUGAUCAGCCACACUGGGACUGAGACACGGCCCAGACUCCUACGGGAGGCAGCAGUGGGGAAUAUUGGACAAUGGGCGCAAGCCUGAUCCAGCCAUGCCGCGUGAGUGAUGACGGUCUUAGGAUUGUAAAGCUCUUUCACCGGUGAAGAUAAUGACGGUAACCGGAGAAGAAGCCCCGGCUAACUUCGUGCCAGCCGCCGCUGUAACAC